ensembl:lncRNA
GGAAGCCUGAGUCUCCGGUACAGCCUCCUGCUUGGCCACAGAUGUUCCCUGUCAUCAAUCAUUGAGGGCAUCUGUUUGCUGUGCCGCUUGUUUAAAGAGCGAGGCGUUUGCUAAUUGAAAACUAAAAGAUCCAUCCGUCUCACUCAGAGCCAGCAUGAAAUCCACUCAGCCAUGCAAGACCAGGGUGGAAAAGGCAGCACAGAGCUACCGCUAACGUAUCUUCAGGUUGGCGCACCCCACGGAAGUCAUCUCCUGUUUCCUGAGCAAGCCUGGCUCCCCUCCUCACCUCGAAGCAGCCAGGGGCUGCCCAUGCUACCGUUUAUCUAAUACUUCCUCAUCUAUUAUCCCCAGUGUAGUCCAGAGAGAAAGUUUGCCUCCAGAGAUGGUAGAUGUGCUGGUCUGAGCCCCCAGAGAUGGGGGACUGAUCCAGAGCUGGAUCUCCAUGGCAUCUGGAAGGGAUUCCAUUUCUCUGGAAAGUUGGCUGCCAUGUCAUCAGGAUGUUCAAGCAGCUCUGUGGAAGGGUCUACAUGGUAAGGGACUGAAGCCUCCUGCCAACAGCCAUGUGAAUGAACCAUCUUGGAAGCCCAUCUUCCCUCCCCAGACAAGCCUUCAAGUGACCAUGGCCACUGCCAAGGUCUUAACCACGACCUUUUGAAAGACCCUGAGCCAGAACCACCUGACUGAGCUGCCUGAAUUCCUGACCCACAGGAGCUAUGAGAUAAUAAAUUUUUGUUGUUUUAAAUUGCUAGGAUUUAGAGUAAUUUACUAUACC